rnacentral:ncRNA from 1 species
AAUAAGAGAGCGCCAGAACUUUAUUCAAAGUUGACGAGGACUGGAAUUUAUCGAAAAUUCGGCGGAUAUUCCAGAGGUGGUUACAUCCGUUAUCUACAAAGCCAUAAAGAAAUUUUUGGAACAAAAAGGUAAC